rnacentral:rRNA from 1 species
CGGGUGAGUAACACGUGACUAACCUACCCUCGAGUGGGGGAUAACCCCGGGAAACCGGGGCUAAUACCGCAUAACAUCGAGAGAUCAAAGGAGCAAUCCGCUUGAGGAGGGGGUCGCGGCUGAUUAGCUAGUUGGUGAGGUAACGGCUCACCAAGGCGAUGAUCGGUAGCCGGCCUGAGAGGGCGCACGGCCACACUGGAACUGAAACACGGUCCAGACUCCUACGGGAGGCAGCAGUGGGGAAUUUUGCGCAAUGGGGGAAACCCUGACGCAGCAACGCCGCGUGGAGGAUGAAGUCCCUUGGGACGUAAACUCCUUUCGACCGGGACGAUUAUGACGGUACCGGUGGAAGAAGCCCCGGCUAACUUCGUGCCAGCAGCCGCGGUAAUACGAGGGGGGCAAGCGUUGUUCGGAAUUAUUGGGCGUAAAGGGCGCGUAGGCGGUGCGGUAAGUCACCUGUGAAACCUCUGGGCUUAACUCAGAGCCUGCAGGCGAAACUACCGUGCUGGAGUGUGGGAGAGGUGCGUGGAAUUCCCGGUGUAGCGGUGAAAUGCGUAGAUAUCGGGAGGAAC